AGCCUCUGUACAUGGGGUGCUUAGACCGCUAGGCCACCAGCAACCCCAGACUGAGGGAAAUUUACAAGAACUGCUAAUGAAAGACACCGAGGACACAUCAGACAGAAGAUGGAGCGUCUUAUACCUUGCAUCAUUUUGCACAAAUGUGCCUUGAUAUUUUCACACACCAGCAGUGUGUGUGUGAGGCACCAUUAAAUCAGUUCAACCUCUGA